rnacentral:pre_miRNA from 1 species
GACAGUCAGCAGUUGGUCUGGCGUGAGCAGCAUUCUCAGAUCACCUCUUGGCUGUGGG